rnacentral:rRNA from 1 species
GUCGACAGUCAGGUAACGAGCGAGACCCCUGCGUCUAGUUGCUACCAUUACUCUCUGGAGCAGUGGAGCGAAUUAGACGGACCGCCACAGUUAAUGUGGAGGAAGGAAGGGGCCACGGCAGGUCAGUAUGCCCCGAAACCCUAGGGCUACACGCGGGCUGCAAUGGUAUUGACAAUGUGUUCCGAAUCCGAAAGGAGGAGGCAAUCAUUAAACAACAUCUCAGUUAUGACUGAGGGCUGUAACUCGCCCUCACGAAUAUGGAAUCCCUAGUAACCGCGCGUCACUACCGCGCGGUGAAUACGUCCCUGCUCCUUGCACGAAUUCGCCG